CUAUUCUCUUCCUCUCUCCUCUCUUGGCCGCGUCCCUCUCUCUCUCCCCGUCCCCUAUCCUUUUCUUCUUCUUCCCUCUGCAAUCACCGGAGAACACCAUCUCUGGCCACCAUACAACGUCACUGCCACCCCCAAUCGACACAGCACCUAAACCCAACCAAAGCCCAAGCCUCACCAUCGACAUGCACUGCCGGCAGCCUCCAUAAGCGACAACCCAAGGGUGCGAUGCCAAUGUUCCUCGACCCUCGCCGGUUUCGGGUGAUUUCCUUGCCCUUUCGCCACCGUCAUUCUACUCAGCAAGCAAAGCGAAGCAAAACCCAGAAACUCCUCUUUGCCGCUGACGCCUGACGAUACCGUUCAAGCAUCACCAGAGGUCUCAACUCUGCAUGCCUUCGAUCUCCAAUUUCCAACUCGAAUUGAGCUCAACGACUUCCCUAAUCGGAAUCAGAGCCUUGUCAACCACCAAAACCCCAUAGUUUCAAUCUCUGGUUCCAACCAGAGACGCCGCACCCGCCACCACUGGUGCAUGGACCACCGUAGCUCCGCCUUUCACGGUUGCCGGAUUUUCAGGACUUCUCGGUUAGGUAAUUUAGUGAUUUCUCUUUAGCCGGAGCUUCUGGUUUGAGUAGAGUGAACCUUAAUAACAUGUUGUUUAAUUUGGAGUAUAAGGUUUGUGGAAUCUGCGUUUUUGAAGAUUUUGGAGAAGAAGGAAUUGUUGGGUCAGUUUAGAUUUGAAUCGGAAAUGGACUCGAGCGUGUGCACGUGAAAUUGGAAGAAGUAUCGAAAGUUGGAAACGAAGCUAAGUUUGGGCGAGCACUCCAAUUGCAGGUAGGGUGAGUUGUCUCUUCCUUGUUAGAGACUUUUCUAUAUGUGGAAUGCUCUAGUAUGAUAGUAUGUUGCCUGCAAAUACGUUUUUGGUUGUUCAUCAGUCGACGCCUCGUGAUAUCUAUGUUUGCGUAACUGAUAAUUGCUGAUUGCGAAAACCGAGGCUAGACUUGUAUGUUGAGAUACUGUACCCAUUGUAUGUUUGUACUUGUGACCUGAAAGUGAAUAGGACCUAAACACGUUAAUUCCUAGGCAUCCCACGGUGUUGAUAACCGUGAACCUCCGGAGGUGGCUGUGCUUCUAUGUACGUCAAGGAAAAGGUAAGUACUGACGGUGAACCAGCCAUAGGACACUUAGGGCUAGGAAAUGGACAUUUUCACUAUUUGUAGUCAGAAGCACUACAGAGUAGUUGGUUGGUUCUCGAAGGAUGACGAAUCGAGCCAGUCACCAAUUGUUUUAGAGUAGCCAGCAGUGUGCAGGUUUCGAGCAUGUGGUCGAGAGCGUACAGAGGAGGCACAUGGCCCGGCUUGGCGCAUUCCUCUUUGACUUUAUUAAAAGAAGGUUUUGGUCCCUUAUCGGAUUUUGAAGUAACUUAUUUAUUUACUUUUUAUUUAUUUAUUUGUUUUCUACUAGCUUAUUUACAAAAUUUCGGGAGACCCGUAACCCUAGG